rnacentral:rRNA from 1 species
AACGAACGCUGGCGGCAUGCCUAACACAUGCAAGUCGAACGAGACCUUCGGGUCUAGUGGCGCACGGGUGCGUAACGCGUGGGAACCUGCCCUUAGGUUCGGCAUAACUCCCCGAAAGGGGUGCUAAUACCGGAUAAUGUCUUCGGACCAAAGAUUUAUCGCCUUUGGAUGGGCCCGCGUUGGAUUAGCUAGUUGGUAGGGUAAAAGCCUACCAAGGCGACGAUCCAUAGCUGGUCUGAGAGGAUGAUCAGCCACACUGGGACUGAGACACGGCCCAGACUCCUACGGGAGGCAGCAGUGGGGAAUAUUGGACGAUGGGCGAAAGCCUGAUCCAGCAAUGCCGCGUGAGUGAUGAAGGCCUUAGGGUUGUAAAGCUCUUUUACCCGGGAUGAUAAUGACAGUACCGGGAGAAUAAGCGCCGGCUAACUCCGUG